rnacentral:rRNA from 1 species
UACAGAGGGGGCCAGCGUUGUUCGGAAUUACUGGGUGUAAAGGGUGCGUAGGCGGGCAGGUAAGUCAGUGGUGAAAUCUCCGGGCUUAACCCGGAAACUGCCGUUGAUACUAUCUGUCUUGAAUAUCGUGGAGGUAAGCGGAAUAUGUCAUGUAGCGGUGAAAUGCUUAGAUAUGACAUAGAACACCGAUUGCGAAGGCAGCUUACUACACGAUCAUUGACGCUGAGGCACGAAAGCGUGGGGAGCAAACAGG